rnacentral:rRNA from 1 species
UACGUAGGUGACCAGCGUUGUCCGGAUUUACUGGGCGUAAAGAGCGCGCAGGCGGUCGUUCAAGUCGAGUGUGAAAGCCCCCGGCUCAACUGGGGAGGGUCACUCGAUACUGAUCGACUUGAAGGCAGGAGAGGGAAGGGGAAUUCCCGGUGUAGUGGUGAAAUGCGUAGAUAUCGGGAGGAACCCGAGUGGCGAAGGCGGCUUCCUGGCCUGAUCUGACGCUGAGGAGCGAAAGCGUGGGGAGCGAACAGG